GCUCCGGUAGCUCAGUGGAUAGAGCAGCAGCCUUCUAAGCUGUUGGUCGGUGGUUCGAUUCCACCCCGGGGCACCA
rnacentral:tRNA from 1 species